UUCCGUGCUUCGCUAAGACCUCGUCUCGGGAGAACAGGAGGAUGGUGUCCCCGUCCAAGGGAAGGGUAUAAAUACGCUUGGCAGCGGAACUGGUC
rnacentral:SRP_RNA from 11 species